CAGUAGCCACGGGAAUACGAAGGGUGCAAGCGUUACUCGGAAUUACUGGGCGUAAAGCGUGCGUAGGUGGUGGUUUAAGUCCGUUGUGAAAGCCCUGGGCUCAACCUGGGAAUUGCAGUGGAUACUGGGUCACUAGAGUGUGGUAGAGGAUGGUGGAAUUUCCGGUGUAGCAGUGAAAUGCGUAGAGAUCGGAAGGAACAUCUGUGGCGAAGGCGACUAUCUGGGCCAACACUGACACUGAGGCACGAAAGCGUGGGGAGCAAACAGGAUUAGAUACCCGAGUAGUCCCUGUCUCUUAUAC
rnacentral:rRNA from 1 species